UGCUCUAAUUAGACUAUAAUAAUGGUAAAAAAACGUAAUGAAAUUCAAAACAACUCAAAGAAAUUUCAAACAAACAAUAAAAAUUUUAAAGAAAUAUUAGAAUGAUCACAAAUUUUAUUCAAAUAUAUGUCAAUUCAACCUUAAUUUAAUUCUAGUUAAAACUCUAUUGAAUUUCUCUCAACUUUAGACCAAAUCAAAUUAAAUCUUAAACCCUAAUAAUUCCUAAACCCUAAGUCAAAUCCUAAACAAAUCUUAAAUUAAACCCUAUUUCAAAUCCUAAAUCCUAAAUCAAAUCCUAAAUCAAAUCCUAAUUAAAUCCUAAAUCCUAAUCCAAACCCUAAUCCAAAUCCUAAUCCAAUCCUAAACUCUAAUCCAAAUCCUAAAUCCUAAACCAAAUCUUAAAUCAAAUCCUAAUCAAAUCCUAGUCCAAACUCUAAUUCAAAUCUUAAAUCAAAUCCUAAUCCAAAUCCUAAAUCAAAUCCUAACC
rnacentral:lncRNA from 1 species